rnacentral:rRNA from 1 species
GCCCAUAGGUCUGGGAUAACCACGAGAAAUCGGGGCUAAUACCGGAUGUGUCAUCGGACCGCAUGGUCCGCUGAUGAAAGGCGCUCCGGCGUCGCCCAUGGAUGGCUUUGCGGUGCAUUAGCUAGUUGGUGGGGUAACGGCCCACCAAGGCGACGAUGCAUAGCCGACCUGAGAGGGUGAUCGGCCACACUGGGACUGAGACACGGCCCAAACUCCUACGGGAGGCAGCAGUAGGGAAUCUUCCACAAUGGACGAAAGUCUGAUGGAGCAACGCCGCGUGAACGAUGAAGGCUUUCGGGUCGUAAAGUUCUGUUGUAAGGGAAGAACAAGUGCCGCAGGCAAUGGCGGCACCUUGACGGUACCUUGCGAGAAAGCCACGGCUAACUACGUGCCAGCAGCCGCGGUAAUACGUAGUGGCAAGCGUUGUCCGGAAUUAUUGGGCGUAAAGCGCGCGCAGCGGCCUCUUAAGUCUGAUGUGAAAGCCCCCGGCUCAACCGGGGACG